GACGAACGCUGGCGGCGUGCUUAACACAUGCAAGUCGAACGGAAAGGCCCUGCUUUUGUGGGUUGCUCGAGUGGCGAACGGGUGAGUAACACGUGAGUAACCUGCCCUUGACUUUGGGAUAACUUCAGGAAACUGGGGCGAAUACCGGAUAGGAUCUCCUGCUGCAUGGUGGGGGUUGGAAAGUUUCGGCGGUUGGGGAUGUACUCGCGGCUUAUCAGCUUGUUGGUGGGGUAGUGGAUUACCAAGGCUUUGACGGGUAGCCGGCCUGAGAGGGUGACCGGCCACAUUGGGACUGAGAUACGGCCCAGAAUCCUACGGGAGGCAGCAGGGGGGAAUAUUGCACAAUGGGGGGAAGUCUGAUGCAGCAACGCCGCGUGCGGGAUGACGGCCUUCGGGUUGUAAACCGCUUUCGCCUGUGACGAAGCGUGAGUGACGGUAAUGGGUAAAGAAGCAACGGCUAACUACGUG
rnacentral:rRNA from 1 species